UACGGAGGGUGCGAGCGUUAAUCGGAAUAACUGGGCGUAAAGCGCGCGCAGGUGGGCUUUUAAGUGAGGUGUGAAAUCCCCGGGCUUAACCUGGGAAUAGCAUUUCAGACUGGGAGUCUAGAGUACUUUAGGGAGGGGUAGAAUUCCACGUGUAGCGGUGAAAUGCGUAGAGAUGUGGAGGAAUAUCGAAGGCGAAGGCAGCCCCUUGGGAAUGUACUGACGCUCAGGUGCGAAAGCGUGGGGAGCAAACAGG
rnacentral:rRNA from 1 species